CCAAUAGCGUAUAUUAAAGUUGUUGCAGUUAAAAAGCUCGUAGUUGAAUUUCGGGAUUUUUCCGUUGGUCAGGCCAACAAGUCUGUACUAGCGUGUAGAAUCUCUACCUUCUGGGGAACCAUCAUGUUAUUAAUUUAGCGUGGUGGGAAACCAGGACCUUUACCUUGAAAAAAUUAGAGUGUUCAAAGCAGGCUUACGUCUGAAUACAUUAGCAUGGAAUAAUAAAAUAGGACGGUGGUCCUGUUUUGUUGGUUUCUGAAUCACCGUAAUGAUUAAUAGGGAUAGUUGGGGGCAUUAGUAUUCAAUUGUCAGAGGUGAAAUUCUUGGAUUUAUUGAAGACUAACUUCUGCGAAAGCAUUUGCCAAGGAUGUUUUCAUUAAUCAAGAACGAAAGUUAGGGGAUCGAAGACGAUCAGAUACCGUCGUAGUCUUAACCAUAAACUAUGCCGACUAGGGAUCGGACGAUGUUAAAUUUUAUUGACUCGUUCGGCGCCUUACG
rnacentral:misc_RNA from 1 species